ACUUGUUUCAGGCUACACUAUUUAUAACAAUGGAAGCAGCAUUUUUGGCUUGUCACCUUUCUCCAAAGGAGCACGGAUUGUCUCUAAACCUUUAGUGUGCAUACUGUGUACUUGGGAACCUAGUUAAAAUGCUAGGUCUGGAGUGGGGCUGCCGCAGGGGAGCUGCUGCAAGGGGAGUCUAAUGCUAGUCCCUGGAAUAUACUCUGAGUAGCAAAAGGACAUGAGGCAACUUUUUGAGGGUGAUGGAAAUGCUCUAAAUUUUGAUUGUGGUUACAUGGAAUAUAUACAUUGAUCAAAACUCAAUGAGUUUAUUGCAUAUAAAUUAUACCUCGAUAAAGUUGAGUUUAAAGG